rnacentral:rRNA from 1 species
UACAGAGGUCUCAAGCGUUGUUCGGAUUCAUUGGGCGUAAAGGGCGCGUAGGCGGCCUGAUAAGUAGGGGGUGAAAUCCUGUGGCUUAACUGCAGGGCUGCCUCCUAGACUGUUAGGCUCGAGCACGGUAGAGGCAGAUGGAAUUCCCGGUGUAGCGGUGGAAUGCGUAGAGAUCGGGAAGAACAUCGGUGGCGAAGGCGGUCUGCUGGGCCGUUGCUGACGCUGAGGCACGAAGGCCAGGGGAGCGAACGGG